GAUGAACGCUGGCGGCGUGCCUAAUACAUGCAAGUCGAGCGAACAGACGAGGAGCUUGCUCCUCUGACGUUAGCGGCGGACGGGUGAGUAACACGUGGAUAACCUACCUAUAAGACUGGGAUAACUUCGGGAAACCGGAGCUAAUACCGGAUAACAUGUUGAACCGCAUGGUUCAACAGUGAAAGACGGUCUUGCUGUCACUUAUAGAUGGAUCCGCGCCGCAUUAGCUAGUUGGUAAGGUAACGGCUUACCAAGGCAACGAUGCGUAGCCGACCUGAGAGGGAGAUCGGCCAGACUGGAACUGAGACACGGUCCAGACUCCUACGGGAGGCAGCAGUAGGGAAUCUUCCGCAAGGGGCGAAAGCCUGACGGAGCAACGCCGCGGGAGGGAAGAAGGUCUUCGGAUCGUAAAGUUAUGUAAGUAGGGAAGAAGAAAUGUGUAAGUAACUAUGCACGUAUUGACGGUACCGAAUCAGAAAGCCACGGCUAACUACGUG
rnacentral:rRNA from 1 species